rnacentral:lncRNA from 1 species
GCACCCUCGAUCUCCAAUCCAGUAGAGGCGCCGAGGGGGAGUUCCGUCAGCACGACGGCGUGGUGACGAUCUUGAUGUUCUCCUGUCGCAGGGCUUCGCCUAAGCACCGCUACAAUAUGACCGAGGUGUAAUAUCAUGGAGGGGGGCACCGCACACGGCUAAGGAACGAUCAAUGAUCAACUUGUGUGUCUAGGGUGCCCCCCUACCCCCGUAUAUAAAGGAGGGAGGGAGGUGGUGGCCGGCCCAAGGAGGGGGCGCGCCAUACGAGGAGGAAACCUACUCCAAGUAGGUUUCCCCUCUUUUUCCUAAUCCAAUUUGGAGGGGGAAGGAAGGAGUACUAGUAGUAGGAAGGAAGAGAGGGAAGGAGAAAGGAAAGGGGGGGCCGGCCCCCCUCCCCAAUUCGGAUUGGGCUUGGGGGGCGCGCCCCCCUCCCUUGCUCCUUCUCCCUUCCUCCUACUUGGGCCCAAUAACGCCCAUAUACUUACCGGGGGGUUCCGGUAACCUCCCGGAGCUCCGGUAUAUUCCCAAACUCUCCCGGAACCUUUCCGGUGUCCAAAUAUAUCCGUCCAAUAUAUCAAUCUUUAUGUCUCGACCAUUUCGAGACUCCUCGUCAUGUCCGUGAUCACAUCCGGGACUCCGCACAAACUUUGGUACAUCAAAAUACAUAAACUCAUAAUAUAAUUGUCAUCGAAACCUUAAGCGUGCGGACCCUACGGUUCGAGAACGAUGUAUACAUGACUGAGACACGUCUCUGGUCAAUAACCAAUAGCGGGACCUGGAUGCCCAUAUUGGUUCCUACAUAUUCUACGAAGAUCUUUGUCGGUCAAACCGCACAACAACAUACGUUGUUCCCUUUGUCAUCGGUAUGUUACUUGUCCGAGAUUCGAUCGUCGGUAUCCAAUACCUAGUUCAAUCUCGUUACCGACAAGUCUCUUUACUCUUUCUGUAAUACUUCAUCUCAUAACUAACUCAUUAGUUACAUGCUUCCAAGGCUUAGGUGAUGAGCAUUACCGAGAGGGCCCAGAGAUACCUCUCCGACAAUUCUAGCAUGAAUAAUAAACAUUUAUCAUGAUAUGAGGAAAUAAAUAAUAACUUUAUUAUUGCCUCUAGGGCAUAUUUCCUUCAGUCUCCCACUUGCACUAGAGUCAAUAAUCUAGAUUACACAGUAAUGAUUCUAACACCCAUGGAGUCUUGGUGCUGAUCAUGUUUUGCUCGUGAGAGAGGCUUAGUCAACGGGUCUGCAACAUUCAGAUCCGUAUGUAUCUUGCAAAUCUCUAUGUCUCCCACUUGGACUUGGUCCCGAAUGGAAUUGAAGCGUCUCUUGAUGUGCUUGGUCCUCUUGUGAAAUCUGGAUUCCUUUGCCAAGGCAAUUGCACCAGUAUUGUCACAGAAGAUCUUCAUUGGUCCCGAUGCACUAGGUAUGACACCUAGAUCGGAAAUGAACUCCUUCAUCCAGACUCCUUCAUUUGCUGCUUCAGAAGCAGCUAUGUACUCCGCUUCACAUGUAGAUCCUGCUACGACGCUUUGUUUAGAACUGCACCAACUCACAGCUCCACCGUUUAAUAUAAACACGUAUCCGAUUUGCGAUUUAGAAUCGUCCAGAUCAGUGUCAAAGCUUGCAUCGACGUAACCAUUUACGACUAGCUCUUUGUCACCUCCAUAUAUGAGAAACAUAUCCUUAGUCCUUUUCAGGUAUUUCACGAUGUUCUUGACCGCUGUCCAGUGAUCCACUCCUGGAUUACUUUGGUACCUACCUGCCAAGCUUAUUGCUAAGCAUACGUCAGGUCUGAUACAUAGCAUUGCAUACAUGAUAGAGCCUAUGGCUGAAGCAUAGGGAACACCUUUCAUUUUCUCUCUAUCUUCUGCUGUGGUCGGGCAUUGAGUUUGACUCAACUUCACACCUUGUAGCACAGGCAAGAAUCCUUUCGUUGCCUGAUCCAUUUUGAACUUUUUCAAAAUUUUGUCAAGGUAUGUGCUUUGUGAAAGUCCUAUUAAGCGUCUUGAUCUAUCUCUAUAGAUCUUGAUGCCCAAUAUGUAAGCAGCUUUUCCGAGGUCUUUCAUUGAAAAACUUUUAUUCAAGUAUCCCUUUAUGCUAUCCAGAAAUUCUACAUCAUUUCCAGUUAAUAAUAUGUCAUCAACAUAUAAAACUAGAAAUGCUACAGAGCUCCCACUCACUUUCUUGUAAAUACAGGCUUCUCCAAAAGUCUGUAUAAAACCAUAUGCUUUGAUCACACUGUCAAAGCGUUUAUUCCAACUCCGAGAUGCUUGCACCAGUCCAUAAAUGGAACGCUGGAGCUUGCACACUUUGUUAGCACCUUUUGGAUCAACAAAACCUUCAGGCUGCAUCAUAUACAACUCUUCUUCUAGAAAUCCAUUCAAGAAUGCAGUCUUGACAUCCAUUUGCCAAAUUUCAUAAUCAUGAAAUGCAGCAAUAGCCAACAUGAUUCGGACAGACUUAAGCAUCACUACAGGUGAGAAAGUCUCAUCGUAGUCAACCCCUUGAACUUGUCGAAAACCUUUUGCAACAAGUCGAGCUUUGUAGACAGUAACAUUACCAUCAGCGUCAGUCUUCUUCUUAAAGAUCCAUUUAUUCUCAGUGGCUUGCCGAUCAUCGGGCAAGUCAACCAAAGUCCAUACUUUGUUUUCAUACAUGGAUCCCAUCUCAGAUUUCAUGGCCUCUAGCCAUUUUGCGGAAUCUGGGCUCAUCAUCGCUUCCUCAUAGUUCGUAGGUUCAUCAUGGUCAAGUAACAUGACUUCCAGAAUAGGAUUUCCGUACCACUCUGGUGCGGAUCUUACUCUGGUAGACCUACGAGGUUCAGUAGAAACUUGAUCUGAAGUUUCAUGAUCAAUAUCAUUAGCUUCCUCACUAAUUGGUGUAGUUGUCACAGGAACCGGUUCUUGUGAUGAACUACUUUCCAAUAAGGGAGUAGAUACAGUUAUCUCAUCAAGUUCUACUUUCCUCCCACUCACUUCUUUCGAGAGAAAUUCCUUCUCUAGAAAGGAUCCGAAUUUAGCAACGAAAAUCUUGCCCUCAGAUCUGUGAUAGAAGGUGUACCCAAUAGUCUCCUUUGGGUAUCCUAUGAAGACACAUUUCUCCGAUUUGGGUUCGAGCUUAUCUGGUUGAAGUUUCUUCACAUAAGCAUUGCAGCCCCAAACUUUAAGAAACGACAACUUUGGUUUCUUGCCAAACCAUAGUUCAUAAGGCGUCGUUUCAACGGAUUUUGAUGGUGCCCUAUUUAACGUGAAUGCGGUCGUCUCUAAAGCAUAACCCCAAAACGAUAGCGGUAAAUCGGUAAGAGACAUCAUAGAUCGUACCAUAUCAAGUAAAGUACGAUUACGACGUUCGGACACACCAUUUCGUUGUGGUGUUCCAGGUGGCAUGAGUUGCGAAACUAUUCCACAUUGUUUCAAAUGUAAACCAAACUCGUAACUCAAAUAUUCUCCUCCACGAUCAGAUCGUAGAAACUUUAUUUUCUUGUUACGAUGAUUUUCUACUUCACUCUGAAAUUCUUUGAACUUUUCAAAUGUUUCAGACUUGUGCUUCAUCAAGUAGAUAUACCCAUAUCUGCUCAAAUCAUCUGUGAAGGUGAGAAAAUAACGAUAUCCGCCACGAGCCUCAACAUUCAUCGGGCCACAUACAUCUGUAUGUAUGAUUUCCAACAAAUCUGUUGCUCUCUCCAUAAAUCCGGAGAACGGUGUUUUAGUCAUCUUGCCCAUGAGGCACGGUUCGCAAGUACCAAGUGAUUCAUAAUCAAGUGAUUCCAGAAGUCCAUCAGUAUGGAGUUUCUUCAUGCGUUUUAUACCGAUAUGACCUAAACAGCAGUGCCACAAAUAUGUUGCACUAUCAUUAUCAACUCUGCAUCUUUUGGAUUCAACAUUAUGAAUAUGUGUAUCACUACUAUCGAGAUUUAAUAAAAAUAGACCACUCUUCAAGGGUGCAUGACCAUAAAAGAUAUUACUCAUAUAAAUAGGACAACCAUUAUUCUCUGAUUUAAAUGAAUAACCGUCUCGCAUCAAACAAGAUCCAGAUAUAAUGUUCAUGCUCAACGCAGGCACCAAAUAACAAUUAUUCAGGUCUAAAACUAAUCCCGAUGGUAGAUGUAGAGGUAGCGUGCCGACCGCGAUCACAUCGACUUUGGAACCAUUUCCCACACGCAUCGUCACCUCGUCCUUAGCUAAUCUUCGCUUAAUCCGUAGUCCCUGUUUCGAGUUGCAAAUGUUAGCAACAGAACCAGUAUCAAAUACCCAGGUACUACUGCGAGCAUUAGUAAGGUACACAUCAAUAACAUGUAUAUCACAUAUACCUUUGUUCACUUUGCCAUCCUUCUUAUCCGCCAAAUACUUGGGGCAGUUCCGCUUCCAGUGUCCAGUCUGCUUGCAGUAGAAGCACUCAGUUUCAGGCUUAGGUCCAGACUUGGGUUUCUUCUCUUGAGCAGCAACUUGUUUGCUGUUCUUUUUGAAGUUCCCCUUCUUCUUCCCUUUGCCCUUUUUCUUGAAACUAGUGGUCUUGUUGACCAUCAACACUUGAUGCUCCUUCUUGAUUUCUACCUCCGCGGCUUUCAGCAUCGCGAAGAGCUCGGGAAUAGUCUUGUUCAUCCCUUGCAUAUUAUAGUUCAUCACAAAGCUCUUGUAGCUUGGUGGCAGUGAUUGGAGAAUUCUGUCAAUGACGCUAUCAUCCGGAAGAUUAACUCCCAGUUGAAUCAAGUGAUUAUUAUACCCAGACAUUUUGAGUAUAUGCUCACUGACAGAACUGUUCUCCUCCAUCUUGCAGCUGUAGAACUUAUUGGAGACUUCAUAUCUCUCAAUCCGGGCAUUUGCUUGAAAUAUUAACUUCAACUCCUGGAACAUCUCAUAUGCUCCAUGACGUUCAAAACGUCGUUGAAGACCCGGUUCUAAGCCGUAAAGCAUGGCACACUGAACUAUAGAGUAGUCAUCAGCUUUGCUCUGCCAGACGUUCUUAACGUCAUCAGUUGCAUCAGCAGCAGGCCUGGCACCCAGCGGUGCUUCCAGGACAUAACUCUUCUGUGCAGCAAUGAGGAUAAUCCUCAGGUUACGGACCCAGUCCGUGUAAUUGCUACCAUCAUCUUUCAACUUUGCUUUCUCAAGGAACGCAUUAAAAUUCAACGGAACAACAGCACGAGCCAUCUAUCUACAAACAAACAUAGACAAGCAAAAUACUAUCAGGUACUAAGUUCAUGAUAAAUUUAAGUUCAAUUAAUCAUAUUACUAAAGAACUCCCACUUAGACAGACAUCUCUCUAGUCAUCUAAGUGAUUACGUGAUCCAAAUCAACUAAACCAUGUCCGAUCAUCACGUGAGAUGGAGUAGUUUCAAUGGUGAACAUCUCUAUGUUGAUCAUAUCUACUAUAUGAUUCACGCUCGACCUUUCGGUCUUCGUGUUCCGAGGCCAUAUCUGUAUAUGCUAGGCUCGUCAAGUAUAACCUGAGUAUUCCGCGUGUGCAAUUGUUUUGCACCCGUUGUAUUUGAAUGUAGAGCCUAUGACACCCGAUCAUCACGUGGUGUCUCAGCACGAAGAACUUUCGCAACGGUGCAUACUCAGGGAGAACACUUCUUGAUAAUUAGUGAGAGAUCAUCUUAAAAUGCUACCGUCAAUCAAAGCAAGAUAAGAUGCAUAAAGGAUAAACAUCACAUGCAAUCAAUAUAAGUGAUAUGAUAUGGCCAUCAUCAUCUUGUGCUUGUGAUCUCCAUCUCCGAAGCACCGUCGUGAUCACCAUCGUCACCGGCGCGACACCUUGAUCUCCAUCGUAGCAUCAUUGUCGUUACGCCAUCUAUUGCUUCUACGACUAUCGCUACCGCUUAGUGAUAAAGUAAAGCAAUUACAGGGCGUUUGCAUUUCAUACAAUAAAGCGACAACCAUAUGGCUCCUGCCAGUUGCCGAUAACUUCGGUUACAAAACAUGAUCAUCUCAUACAAUAAAAUAUAGCAUCACGUCUUGACCAUAUCACAUCACAACAUGCCCUGCAAAAACAAGUUAGACGUCCUCUACUUUGUUGUUGCAAAUUUUACGUGGCUGCUACAGGCUUAGCAAGAACCGUUCUUACCUACGCAUCAAAACCACAACGAUAGUUUGUCAAAUAGACUCCGUUUUAACCUUCACAAGGAUCGGGCGUAGCCACACUCGGUUCAACUAAAGUUGGAGAAACAGACACCCGCUAGUCACCUGUGUGCAAAGCACGGCGGUAAAACCAGUCUCGCGUAAGCGUACGCUUAAUGUCGGUCCGGGCCGCUUCAUCCAACAAUACCGCUGAACCAAAGUAUGACAUGCUGGUAGGCAGUAUGACUUAUAUCGUCCACAACUCACUUGUGUUCUACUCGUGCAUAUAACAUCAACGCAUAAAACCUAGGCUCAGAUGCCACUGUUGGGGAACGUAGUAAUUUCAAAAAAUUUCCUACGCACACGCAAGAUCAUGGUGAUGAUAUAGCAACGAGGGGAGAGUGUUGUCUACGUACCCUCGUAGACCGAAGCGGAAGCGUUAACGCAACAUAGAGGAAGUAGUCGUACGUCCUCCCGGUCCGACCGAUCCAAGCACCGUUACUCCGGCACCUCCGAGUUCUUGACACGCGUACAGCUCGAUGACGCACCCUCGAUCUCCAAUCCAGUAGAGGCGCCGAGGGGGAGUUCCGUCAGCACGACGGCGUGGUGACGAUCUUGAUGUUCUCCUGUCGCAGGGCUUCGCCUAAGCACCGCUACAAUAUGACCGAGGUGUAAUAUCGUGGAGGGGGGCACCGCACACGGCUAAGGAACGAUCAAUGAUCAACUUGUGUGUCUAGGGUGCCCCCCUACCCCCGUAUAUAAAGGAGGGAGGGAGGAGGUGGCCGGCCCAAGGAGGGGGCGCGCCAUAGGAGGAGGAAACCUACUCCAAGUAGGUUUCCCCUCUUUUUCCUAAUCCAAUUUGGAGGGGGAAGGAAGGAGUACUAGUAGUAGGAAGGA